AGUUUCAAUAGCGUAUAUUAAAGUUGGUCAGGUUAAACAGCUCGUAGUUGGAUUCUUGCCCGGGGCGAGCGGACCGCCGUCUGGGUGAGCAUGUGGCUGGGCCUUCACAUCUUCUUUGUGAACGUAGUUGCACUUGAUCGCGUGAUGCGGCGCCCAGGGCUUUUAUUCUGAGGAAUUUAGAGCGUUUCAAGCAGGCAUGCGCCUUGAUUAUAUCAGCAGGGCAUAGUAGGAUGUGACCUCGGUUCUAUGUUGUUGGUUUCCGGAGUUGGUGUAAUGAUUGAUAUGGAUAGAUGGGAGCAUUCGUGUUAAUUGUCAGAGGUGAAGUCAUUGGAUUUGUUAAAGGUGGUCUAUUGCGAAAGCAUUUGCCAAGGAUGUUU
rnacentral:rRNA from 1 species